rnacentral:rRNA from 1 species
UACGAAGGGGGCUAGCGUUGUUCGGAUUUACUGGGCGUAAAGCGCACGUAGGCGGAUCGUUAAGUCGGGGGUGAAAUCCUGGAGCUCAACUCCAGAACUGCCUUUGAUACUGGGGAUCUCGAGUCCGGGGAGAGGUGAGUGGAACUCCGAGUGUAGAGGUGAAAUUCGUAGAUAUUCGGAAGAACACCAGUGGCGAAGGCGCUCACUGGCCCGGUACUGACGCUGAGGCACGAAGGCCAGGGGAGCAAACGGG